rnacentral:lncRNA from 1 species
AGAAGCUUUGGGUUGGAACAUAGGGCUCCCCUUUCCUCUGCCAGCCAGUCUUUUGCUUUAGGUCCCAAAUUUGCUAAAACACCAGCCUCCACAGCAUUUCACCAGCUGCAUAAUAAUUCCCCAUUGAGCAUCGAGCAUAAUGAGCCUCCCCAAGUUUUCUGCUUUCCACCCAUCAUUACCCAUCCCAUCCCUUGCCGUUGAGAACAUAUGAUAUUGCCGACCCCAUUCAAUUCUUACACCUUUCAGGCUCUUUGGCUCCCUGUAUUUUGAUACAUUUUGCUUUACAUCUUAGGCCGUAAACCAGCAGCGCCCGUGGAGGGCAAUGUUUGUAAUGUUGUUUAGUUUAGAAUAUCAUAGAGGGAGAGGGGACGGGGUUGCUGGUUGCGGUUUCCGUUACGUGUAUAUACCAUAUAGCAAAACAUGAGAAUCCAUUUAGUGGAGGUGGUGAGGAGGAGGGGGAGGAGGGUACAGACAGGGCUAGUUGUUGUGUUACUGUCAUUUUAGCGGUAAAAAGGAAAAAUCAAUUGGUAAUUGGUGUAGAGAGGGGAAAGGUUGGUGGUGUUAAUUGGAUGCCAUUUUGCUGCUUCUGCUGGUCUGUGGUGCCGAUACAUUUUCAUCAUCAUGAAUAAAACAAUCCAACAUUCUUUCUUUCUUUCUUUCUUUGUAUUUUACUCUGCUGUUGGUUAUUCCUUUCUGUAAUGAGCUGGGGUAUUAUGGUAUGUUGUCAAGAAUCACUAAUCCUAGCUUGCUCUCGCAUUCUUCUACUAUUUGUCAGCAUUAGCACAAUAGGUUUGUUCUGCCAGCUGGCAUGGCAUGGCAUGGCAUGACCCGUGAGAGUCAUUGGGAGUGGAGAUGAUGGCAACAUCAGCACUGGUCCUCUGGUUUGGCUCUGUGUGUGUGGUGGCUGGUAGGUGUGGGUAACAAGGGUAGUAGUAACACAGCGCAUCUCCCAAUGUAUGUGCUUAGGGGUGUGAGAAAGAAGAGACUUUUUCCUCGCUUGUUCUCUCUCUCUGGGGUGGGUCUACAGUAGGUGUUAAAGCCAUGAUGACCACAGAACUGUCAGUCCUCUCUGUCUCUCUCUAGCUCCAUGGUGAUGAUCAGAUCUGGGUGCCCCAGCUGGUAAUGAUUUGGGCCCCAGCAAGUCCCUCCUAGCCUGGCACGCAGAGCUGGCCCCUUUUGAAUGGGGUAGCUACCUCAUUCAUUGCUCUGCAAUCUACUACUCCCUAGCCUACACGCCCAAUAUAUAUUUACAGUCUCUUAGAGUGAGUAUAAUAGUGGCUUAUAGCGGACAGGAGCUUGUGGCUCUCCGGUGUAAUUACACCCUUUUUUUUAAUAGUAACUUGUAAGAAACUCAGAAAAACCUGAAACCUUUUGGGAACAAAGUAGAUUUAUUGUUGCACUCUUAUAAAUCUUUUGCGAAGAAAUGACUUUCAUGUUGUUGUUGUUGUGGACCUAAUAAAACAAAUUUGUCCGUAUAUACAAGGUACUGUUCAGGCUAUAUUCUCUCGUCAAUUUUGUCGGACAAUAUUUCGUUACAAAAUAUUUUUGUAUCACAUAAACGACAGAUUUUGUAUGAUAUAAACGACAACUCAAGUUUGUUGGGAAAAAGUUUUGGAAUGUUUUGACUUUUUCCAAAUUUUUAAAAAAUAAAAUCAGUUAUCAGGUGUAAUUACCACCAUGUUCCAAAAGGUAUUUUCCGUUUAUAGUCUGCUUAUGUGGCACUUUUGCCCGUGUAUGAUAUAAACGACAACUCAAGUUUGUUGGGAAAAAGUUUUGGAAUGUUUUGACUUUUUCCAAAUUUUUAAAAAAUAAAAUCAGUUAUCAGGUGUAAUUACCACCAUGUUCCAAAAGGUAUUUUCCGUUUAUAGUCUGCUUAUGUGGCACUUUUGCCCGUGAAUGAGAGACAUGGAAAGGUAAGGAAGUGUGCUCUUAUGUAAGGGCAACUCCAACGUUGAUCACCUGUCAAAAAAAAAAC